rnacentral:sRNA from 1 species
CACAACUCUAGCUAAAUUUAGGUUAAUAGCUUAAUUAUGCUUACUUUGUAUAUCAUUAAGUAGAUAACAAUUUCAAGAACUGUUUACUGAAUUGAAUCAAUGACACGUUUUUCUCCUCUGUUUCCAUUUUAAUUUUUAUGAACUUGAUGAAUAGCCAGAGCAACUAUUUCACUGAAAUGGCUCCAUAGCGAGGCUUUGGCUUAAACCCGUGCUAGAGGAGCAUCACAAGCAUUAGAUCGUCAAAUUGAACUUGACUUACUUAUCAGUCCAAAGGAUGACAUUGAGUUUACCAUAGUGAGAGACACCAUAAGAAGAAAAGUAGAGG